CAAAGGGAGGUGGAGGCAUAUCGGGUGAGCCGCCGCAGGAGGGGAAAACUCCCCCCGAGGUUUUGGGGGCCGGGUGAGUUCACAUGGGUAACCUGCCUGUGGACUGGGAUAACUCCGGGAAUCGGGGCUAAUACCGGAUGGUUGUUUGAACCUAGGGUUCUACCUUAAAGGUGGCUUCGGCUACUACUUACAGAUGGACCCGCGGCGCAGUACUUAGUUGGUGACGUAACGGCUCACCAAGGCAACGAUGCGUAGCCGACCUGAUAGGGUGAUCCGCCACACUGGGACUGAGAACGGCCCCACUCCUACCGGAGGGUCAGUACGGAAUCUUCCGCAAUGGACGAUGUCUGACGGAUGCCGCCUCGUGAGUGAUGAAGGUUUUCGGAUCGUAAAGCUCUGUUGUUGGGGAAGAACAAGUGCCGUUCAAAUAGGGCGGCACCUUGACGGUACCUAACCCCAAAGCCCCGGCUAACUACGUGCCACCACCCGCGGUAAUACGUAGGUGGCAAGCGUUGCCCGGAAUUAUUGGGCGUAAAGGGCUCGCAGGCGGUUUCUUCAGUCUGAUGUGAAAGCCCCCGGCUCACCCGGGGAGGGUCAUUGUAGACUGGGGAACUUGAGUGCAAAAAAGGAGAGUGAAAUUCCACCUGUAUCGGUGAAUUGCGUAGAGAUGUGGAGGAACACCAGUGGCGAAGGCAACUCUCUGGUCUGUACUCUGACGUUAAGCAGCGAAAGCGUGGGGAGCGAACAGGAUUAGAUACCCUGGUACUCCACGCCGUAGACGAUGAGUGCUAGGUGUUAGGGGGUUUCCGCUCCUUAGUGCUGCAGCUAACGCAUUACGCACUCCGCCCUGCCGAGUACGGUCGCAAGACUGAAACUCAGAGGAUUGACGGGGGGCUCGCACGAGCGGUGGAGCGUGUGGUUUAAUUCGAAGCAACGCGAAGAGCCUUACCAGGGUCUUGACAUCCUCUGACAAUCCUAGAGACUAUGCACGUCCCCUUCGGGGCACAGUCGACAGGCAGAGUCAACGUCGUCGCUCACUACUGUCGUGAGAAUCUAUGGGUUAAGUCUCCGCGACGAACGUCACUCCUUGAUACC
rnacentral:rRNA from 1 species